AGCAGCCGCGGUAAUUCCAGCUCCAAUAGCGUAUAUUAAAGUUGUUGCAGUUAAAAAGCUCGUAGUUGAACUUCGGGGUUUACCCAUUGGUCAGGCUUAAUUGUCUGUACUGGUGAGAUGAAUCUCUACCUUCUGAGGAACUUUCAUGCCAUUUAUUUGGUGUGAUGGGUAGCCAGAUAUUUUACUUUGAAAAAAUUAGAGUGUUUAAAGCAGGCGCUUGCUAUGAAUACAUUAGCAUGGAAUAAUAAGUUAGGACUUCGGUUCUAUUUUGUUGGUUUCUAGGACUGAAGUA
rnacentral:rRNA from 1 species